rnacentral:rRNA from 1 species
GACGAACGCUGGCGGCGUGCUUAACACAUGCAAGUCGAACGGAAAGGCCCUGCUUUUGUGGGGUGCUCGAGUGGCGAACGGGUGAGUAACACGUGAGUAACCUGCCCUUGACUUUGGGAUAACUUCAGGAAACUGGGGCUAAUACCGGAUAGGAGCUCCUGCUGCAUGGUGGGGGUUGGAAAGUUUCGGCGGUUGGGGAUGGACUCGCGGCUUAUCAGCUUGUUGGUGGGGUAGUGGCUUACCAAGGCUUUGACGGGUAGCCGGCCUGAGAGGGUGACCGGCCACAUUGGGACUGAGAUACGGCCCAGACUCCUACGGGAGGCAGCAGUGGGGACUAUUGACCAAUGGGCGGAAGCCUGAUGCAGCAACGCCGCGUGCGGGAUGACGGCCUUCGGGUUGUAAACCGCUUUCGCCUGUGACGAAGCGUGAGUGACGGUAAUGGGUAAAGAAGCACCGGCUCACUACGUG